GGUUGUUUGGCCGAGCGGUCUAAGGCGCCUGAUUCAAGUGAAAACUUAACACUUAAAAAGUGGAACUCUCAGGUAUCGUAAGAUGCAAGAGUUCGAAUCUCUUAGCAACCA
rfam:Tetrapisispora blattae CBS 6284 chromosome 10, complete genome